CCAUAUCAAUAAGCGGAGGAAAAGAAACCAACCGGGAUUGCCUCAGUAACGGCGAGUGAAGCGGCAAGAGCUCAAAUUUGAAAGCUGGCUCCUUCGGGGUCCGCAUUGUAAUUUGCAGAGGAUGCUUCGGGUGCGGCCCCUGUCUAAGUGCCCUGGAACGGGCCGUCAGAGAGGGUGAGAAUCCCGUCUGGGAUGGGGUGUCCGCGCCCGUGUGAAGCUCCUUCGACGAGUCGAGUUGUUUGGGAAUGCAGCUCUAAAUGGGUGGUAAAUUUCAUCUAAAGCUAAAUACUGGCCGGAGACCGAUAGCGCACAAGUAGAGUGAUCGAAAGAUGAAAAGCACUUUGAAAAGAGAGUUAAAAAGCACGUGAAAUUGUUGAAAGGGAAGCGCUUGCGACCAGACUCGCCUCCAGGGUUCAGCCGGCAUUCGUGCCGGUGUACUUCCCUGGGGGCGGGCCAGCGUCGGUUUGGGCGGCCGGUCAAAGGCUCCCGGAAUGUAGUGCCCUCCGGGGCACCUUAUAGCCGGGAGUGCAAUGCGGCCAGCCUGGACCGAGGAACGCGCUUCGGCACGGACGCUGGCAUAAUGGUCGUAAACGACCCGUCUUGAAACACGGACCAAGGAGUCUAACAUCUACGCGAGUGUUCGGGUGUCAAACCCGUACGCGCAGUGAAAGCGAACGGAGGUGGGAGCCCCCUCGUGGGGCGCACCAUCGACCGAUCCUGAUGUCUUCGGAUGGAUUUGAGUAAGAGCGUAAAUGUGGGGACCCGAAAGAUGGUGAACUAUGCCUGAAUAGGGCGAAGCCAGAGGAAACUCUGGUGGAGGCUCGCAGCGGUUCUGACGUGCAAAUCGAUCGUCAAAUUUUGGGUAUAGGGGCGAAAGACUAAUCGAACCAUCUAGUAGCUUGGUUCCUG
rnacentral:rRNA from 1 species